UAGGGAAUCUUCGGCAAUGGGGGGCAACCCUGACCGAGCAACGCCGCGUGAGUGAAGAAGGUUUUCGGAUCGUAAAGCUCUGUUGUAAGAGAAGAACGUGUGUGAGAGUGGAAAGUUCACACAGUGACGGUAACUUACCAGAAAGGGACGGCUAACUACGUGCCAC
rnacentral:rRNA from 1 species